CGAGCAACGAUCGUUUCAAAGAAAAACGAUAAGUUUUACCUAUAAAAUGCAAGUGCUCGAAUCAAGCAGUGCGGCCAGUUUGCUAAUUGGGUGAAUAAAUAAGUGUUGAAUAAGGCUAGCUACUCGAUCAACCCAGAAAGAUAAUUCAUUACAAAUAAUAAGGAAUCAAGAAACCGGAAAUUAUAUUACGUAUUAGAAUAUCACUGAAUAAUAGAAAUAGGAGGUCUCCUAUAGGGGACGGAAUACAUACUCGGUCUUUCCUUGCUGGACCGCCGAGUCAGAAAGACAGUAAAAGUUAUAUUCAGUGAAGUGAGAUCGUGAGCGAAUAAUAUUGUUAAUCUAUUUUUCAGAGGUGUGCUACCUUUACGUUUCCUAAAUUGAUCAAAACGUGAGUCGUGUGAGAAUCAAAACCGAUCAUUAAUUAGGUAACAACUAAAGUGAAUCGUGAGGAAAACUGGAGAAAAUACAACAUUGUGGAAAAAGGGAAGAAACGAAAGCUCGUGUGCGCCGGCGGCCAGCCGAUUUGGGGUUAUCCAAGAUACGGUACCUCACCGUUAAAGAGCAAUUCGGUGGAUGUAGUGGAAGGAAGCUGGAUCAGUCCGCCUGGGUGCGCCCUAUCGUCUUGUGGCGCCGCGCCAUCAUAGGCCACUUGGAGAGCGUCGGCCAACGAACAAAUCUCGGCCUCGCCUUUCCACCUGCCAUCACGGUGGUUCCUCACUUCUUGCGAGUAGCGUCUAGCAAGGGAAAGAUUGCCACGCCAGCGUGAUUGAUCCUUUUGCUCACGGGCUUCCCAUCGUCUAGAUCUGUGUCAUCCUGCCACACGACAACAACGUCGGUGUCCCUUCGCUCAACGUCGCUAUUGCUUCGACGACGACGCUAAACACGUGCUUCGGCUCUGACUACCACCAACAUUCAGAGAACACCCAGCGGCGCCGGGGGGGCGGUACUCCCCUCUGCCGGGGCAAACCGUCGGAAAACACCACCACCACGAAGGUCAUCGUCUAUUGCUCGAGCAAGCACUGUUCCCCUCAAGCCAUCCUGAGGAGGGGGAGUGGCGGCGACGCAUCGGCAGAUCGACUGUAAGUACCCGAUUGGAAACCGAACACCUUGCGAAAAUACUCUAACCGUACCGAGAGCUAAACCAUUGUUAGGCUAGAGAAAUCCUAUAAGAAUCUCCAAAUCACACAACCAAAAUUGAAAUUCAAACCCAGAAAACGUGACGUCACUGUUAGGAGGCACUUUGUAGAAAUCGAUCGAAAGCAAUCAAUUAGGAACAAGACAGAAACGAAAUGCACCUGAAAAAUUUAAUAAAUUAUGUUUUGAAAACGCGAUCGCCUAGCAU